rnacentral:rRNA from 1 species
GACAGAGGAUGCAAGCGUUAUCCGGAAUGAUUGGGCGUAAAGCGUCUGUAGGUGGCUUUUUAAGUCUGCCGUCAAAUCCCAGGGCUUAACCCUGGACAGGCGGUGGAAACUACCAAGCUGGAGUACGGUAGGGGCAGGGGGAAUUCCCGGUGGAGCGGUGAAAUGCGUAGAUAUCGAGAGGAACACCUGCGGCGAAGGCGGGUUGCUGGGCUGAUACUGACGCUGAGGCGCGAAAGCGUGGGGAGCAAACGGG